CGGGCUGGUCAUCGUGACCCAGGUCCACCUUUCGACGGGUAAGACACCC
rnacentral:sRNA from 12 species